GACGAACGCUGGCGGCGUGCUUAACACAUGCUAGUCGAACGGAAAGGCCCUGCUUUUGUGGGGUGCUCGAGUGGCGAACGGGUGAGUAACACGUGAGUAACCUGCCCUUGACUUUGGGAUAACUUCAGGAAACUGGGGCUAAUACCGGAUAGGAGCUCCUGCUGCAUGGUGGGGGUUGGAAAGUUUCGGCGGUUGGGGAUGGACUCGCGGCUUAUCAGCUUGUUGGUGGGGUAGUGGCUUACCAAGGCUUUGACGGGUAGCCGGCCUGAGAGGGUGACCGGCCACAUUGGGACUGAGAUACGGCCCAGACUCCUACGGGAGGCAGCAGUGGGGAAUAUUGCACAAUGGGCGGAAGCCUGAUGCAGCAACGCCGCGUGCGGGAUGACGGCCUUCGGGUUGUAAACCGCUUUCGCCUGUGACGAAGCGUGAGUGACGGUAAUGGGUAAAGAAGCACCGGCUAACUACGUGCCAGCAGCCGCGGUGAUACGUAGGGUGCGAGCGUUGUCCGGAUUUAUUGGGCGUAAAGGGCUCGUAGGUGGUUGAUCGCGUCGGAAGUGUAAUCUUGGGGCUUAACCCUGAGCGUGCUUUCGAUACGGGUUGACUUGAGGAAGGUAGGGGAGAAUGGAAUUCCUGGUGGAGCGGUGGAAUGCGCAGAUAUCAGGAGGAACACCAGUGGCGAAGGCGGUUCUCUGGGCCUUUCCUGACGCUGAGGAGCGAAAGCGUGGGGAGCGAACAGGCUUAGAUACCCUGGUAGUCCACGCUGUAAACGGUGGGUACUAGGUGUGGGGUCCAUUCCACGGGUUCCGUGCCGUAGCUAACGCUUUAAGUACCCCGCCUGGGGAGUACGGCCGCAAGGCUAAAACUCAAAGGAAUUGACGGGGCCCCGCACAAGCGGCGGAGCAUGCGGAUUAAUUCGAUGCAACGCGUAGAACCUUACCUGGGUUUGACAUGGAUCGGGAGUGCUCAGAGAUGGGUGUGCCUCUUUUGGGGUCGGUUCACAGGUGGUGCAUGCCUGUCGUCAGCUCGUGUCGUGAGAUGUUGGGUUAAGUCCCGCAACGAGCGCAACCCUUGUUCACUGUUGCCAGCACGUUAUGGUGGGGACUCAGUGGAGACCGCCGGGGUCAACUCGGAGGAAGGUGGGGAUGACGUCAAGUCAUCAUGCCCCUUAUGUCCAGGGCUUCACGCAUGCUACAAUGGCUGGUACAGAGAGUGGCGAGCCUGUGAGGGUGAGCGAAUCUCGGAAAGCCGGUCUCAGUUCGGAUUGGGGUCUGCAACUCGACCUCAUGAAGUCGGAGUCGCUAGUAAUCGCAGAUCAGCAACGCUGCGGUGAAUACAAUCCCGGGGCU
rnacentral:rRNA from 1 species